AAAUCUGAGACAGCCUUGGUCUGAGGGAGCAAAGACAGAGAAUUCACGUGCUGCCCAGGCAUAGCCACAUAGCAGGUGGACAUCCCUGGACACUUUUCUGAGAUUUUACGUCAUAGACCCUCACUGGAUUUUCCUGGAAGUACGGAGAGUUACAUCCAGAGAACUCUGAACAUUUUGGAAGGACCCCAAUCCUGCAAACAAUGAAUGGCAAUAAAUCCUGGGACUGGAAAGGGGCUUCUCAACCCCAAGGCAACCAUAAAGUCCUAUACAAAGAAAGAUACAGCAGUGUGAAAGAGGCCUGGAUGAAAAAACAAAGACAGAGCCAGUGAGCCAGAGCCAGAGCCAGAGGACAAGAGAGAAAGGCAGAGAAUGGAAAACACAGACAGAGAAGGCAGAUGCAUAGAGAGACAGAGAUUCAAUGAGAAAAUAAGGAAGGAAGAAAGAAAACAAAAACAUUCUCAGCACUACAACUUCUGCCUUGUUCUGUUCCAGAACAGUAUGAGCUCAGUACUUUUUCAGACUCUCAAUUUUCUACAACUAAUAAUUUGCUCUUUCAGUUAGUGGCAAAGGCUUAACGACAAAGGUUCAUCUUUAAUAUUAAAGAGGCACUUUUAAAAUUUAUGAUGCUAAGCCUUUUGUUCUGGAUAUGGUAUGUUGCACAGGUCUAGGG
rnacentral:antisense_RNA from 1 species